CUGCUUCAUUCUUUUUAUUUUUAAUAAUGUUAUUAAAAAAUAAAAAGCUUAUAGAGCUGCUGUAGUACUACACAACAAAGUUAUCGAUGGUUACAGAACCACCAGCGAUAUGUUUGUUAUGAUAUUAUAACACGUUAAAUGCUAACGUUAGCAGCUAACUCGUUUAGCCUCAGUAAGCUACUGUUCAUAUUUACCUACAUAUAGUUAUCUUGACUUAUUCUGUCGUGGAUCAGAAUUAAAAGCAGUUAGAUAUGGUGAAAUUACUUUAACUGUGCACUGCCUCUGUCGAAAAUAAAAGUAAAUAAAAUACAAUGAUGCCUGAUCAACAUUAGCACUUAGCUAAUCAGGCCUGCU